rnacentral:lncRNA from 1 species
AGUGAGCAGAAUAAUAAACUAUUGUAUUUAAAACAUAUGAUAUCAUGGAAUGCGUCACAACACAAACAAAUCACAUCAAGGAUGGACUUGUCGCCAAUGACCCUCAUCAUAAUCCAAUCAUGCCAGGGGCGUAGUGCAGGCCACACCUGGUCUUUCCCCUAAACAUAACAUGUCAUACAUAUCCAAUAAUGCCGGGGGCGUAGUGGAGGCCACACCCGGACUUUCCCUUACAUAGUGCCAGGGGCGUAGUGCAGGCCACACCUGGACUUCCAUAUCAUAUCAUAUCUCAUCAUACUGAGGACCAAUGGGUCAUCCAACAUCCAUCCACAUUAACAUUAAGAUAUGCAAUGCAACAUAUUCGUGGAUUCUAAUGCAAACAACCUAAAAUAUCACAUGGCAUUCGUGAUGCAUGAAUCAUGUUGAAACUUGUAUUAAUUUAAAACAUAAGGUUUAUU